rnacentral:rRNA from 1 species
ACCCCGCACUCCCGGGGCGUCUCGUUCUCAUCGCGAGAAGAGGCGCACCCAGAGCGUACACGCUGGGACCCGAAAGAUGGUGAACUAUGCCUGGUCAGGACGAAGUCAGGGGAAACCCUGAUGGAGGUCCGAAGCGAUUCUGACGUGCAAAUCGAUCGUCGGAACUGGGUAUAGGGGCGAAAGACUAAUCGAACCAUCUAGUAGCUGGUUCCCUCCGAAGUUUCCCUCAGGAUAGCUGGCGCUCGCUUUUGCGAGUCUCAUCUGGUAAAGCGAAUGAUUAGAGGCAUUGGGGUCGAAACGGCCUCAACCUAUUCUCAAACUUUAAAUGGGUGAGAUCUCCGGCUUGCUUGAACAGUGAAGCCGCGAGAUCGGAUCAGAGUGCCAAGUGGGCCAUUUUUGGUAAGCAGAACUGGCGCUGUGGGAUGAACCAAACGCAGAGUUAAAGCUCCUAAAUCUACGCUUAUGGGAUACCAUGAAAGGCGU